GACGAACCGAGCGAACGUUAUUCGGAAUCACUUGGGCUUAAAGGGCGCGUAGGCGGAUCAAAAAGUCAGGGGUGAAAUCCCACGGCUCAACCGUGGAAGUGCCUUUGAUACUGUUGAUCUCGAGGGAGGUAGGGGCGUGCGGAACUUCCGGUGGAGCGGUGAAAUGCGUAGAUAUCGGAAGGAACACCGGUGGCGAAAGCGGCGCGCUGGACCUCUUCUGACGCUGAGGCGCGAAAGCCAGGGGAGCAAACGGG
rnacentral:rRNA from 1 species